CCGAGUUUUUUCAUCACAUCAUCUAUAUAUCUUUCCAUAUUGCCAAUGAGAACACCUCCUUCAUUUACGAUGCAAAAAAACUUAAUGUGUCCGAGUAUAUUGCGAUUGUUAUCAUGUUUGACUAUGUAGGGUCAAGACUGAAAUUAGCAUAAAAAUCUGCAAACUGAAGUCUCGAGGCCACGAACCCUCUCGUAACUUGACGUGAAUUCUAUUUUGGGUGGGCAAAUAUCCACUUUUUGAUAUUGGACGAACUCUGACGUCCCACGGCCCCAGCUUGUCUGUCAAAACAGCCGUUGGAUAUCAGAGUAAUCUCGGACUAGUUUUGCUGCAGAUAUCUUUUCAUUCCAUGCCUUGAUAAAUACUGAACUGCUGCACUUAAAAUAAGGCUGACAAUAUACUGAAAAAAAAAAAGAAAAUAUAAAAAAGAAUCAAGAAAACACGUUGAGUACUGUAAAUUAAUUAUCAGAUAACUAUAAAUGUGUUGUGGAAGUUGCAAGGAACAUCUCGUAAAGAUUAGUGACAGAACACCAACACAAUGAGCUGUUAGUGUAUGCUGUGCACAAAUUCAAUACACAUUGAUAAUAUUUUAUUUACAUAAUUAGCACUUGUUUUAACUUUGUUUUAUAUCUGAC
rnacentral:lncRNA from 1 species